GAUGAACGCUGGCGGCGUGCCUAAUACAUGCAAGUCGAGCGAACGGACGAGAAGCUUGCUUCUCUGAAGUUAGCGGCGGACGGGUGAGUAACACGUGGAUAACCUACCUAUAAGACUGGGAUAACUUCGGGAAACCGGAGCUAAUACCGGAUGAUAUUUUGAACCGCAUGGUUCAAAAGUGAAAGACGGUCUUGCUGUCACUUAUAGAUGGAUCCGCGCUGCAUUAGCUAGUUGGUAAGGUAACGGCUUACCAAGGCAACGAUGCAUAGCCGACCUGAGAGGGUGAUCGGCCACACUGGAACUGAGACACGGUCCAGACUCCUACGGGAGGCAGCAGUAGGGAAUCUUCCGCAAAGGGCGAAAGCCUGACGGAGCAACGCCGCGUGAGUGAUGAAGGUCUUCGGAUCGUAAAACUCUGUUAUUAGGGAAGAACAUAUGUGUAAGUAACUGUGCACAUCUUGACGGUACCUAAUCAGAAAGCCACGGCUAACUACGUG
rnacentral:rRNA from 1 species